rnacentral:rRNA from 1 species
GACGAACGCUGGCGGCGCGCCUAACACAUGCAAGUCGAGCGAGAACCAGGGCUUCGGCCCUGGGGACAGCGGCGAACGGGUGAGUAACACGUGGAUAACCUGCCCUCGGCACCGGAAUAGCCCGAGGAAACUCGGAUUAAUGCCGGAUAGCCCCACAUCCCUGCGGGGAACGUGGGAAAAGGUAGCUUCGGCCUCUGGCCGAGGAUGGGUCCGCGGUGGAUUAGCUUGUUGGCGGGGUAACGGCCCACCAAGGCGACGAUCCAUAGCUGGUCUGAGAGGAUGAUCAGCCACACUGGGACUGAGACAUGGCCCAGACUCCUACGGGAGGCAGCAGUGGGGAAUCUUGCGCAAUGGGCGAAAGCCUGACGCAGCGACGCCGCGUGCGGGAAGAAGGCCUUCGGGUUGUAAACCGCUUUCAGGAGGGACGAAGCCACUCGGGUGAAUAGCCCAGAGGGUGACGGUACCUCCAGAAGAAGCCCCGGCUAACUACGUGCCAGCCGCCGCAGUAAUAC